rnacentral:pre_miRNA from 1 species
AAUAAACCAAUUUUUUAUUUUUUACCUACAAUUUUUAACUCUUUAUCUUAUUCAAAUUUUUUUGAUUGAUUUUUUUGUUUUUGUUAGAUGAUAAAUCAUAAAUAGUACUUUACGUGUGGCUAAUUUUUUUCUAAUUUUUUGAAAAUUUUUCAAAUAAGACGGAUGGUCAAACGUUGGACAUGAAAACCGGAG